AUGGAUCAAUCAGCUGAUCAGAGUAUUGAUCAGGAUGUUUUUGUACGACGGCUCAAUGACUUUGUAUCACUGUGGUACACGUUUGGUGGAGGAACCAGACUGGAUGUUGGAAGUGACGCCCGUCCCACCCUGACGGUGCUGCCCCCCUCCAGUGAGGAGCUGCAGCAGGAUAAGGUCACAGUCCUGUGCCUGGCCAACAAGGGCUUCCCCUCAGACUGGAGUCUGGCCUGGAAGGUGGAGGGCAGCAGCAGCAGCAGCAGCUGGGAGGAGAGCAGGAGCCCCGGGGUGCUGGAGAAGGACGGCCUCUACAGCUGGAGCAGCACCCUGAGGCUCCCUGCAGACCAGUGGAGCAAGCUGGGCUCUGUGACCUGUGAGGCCACCCAGGGCUCCCAGACUCCGCUCUCAGAGACACUGAGGAGAGACCAGUGUUCCCAGUCCUGACCUGACUCACUGGGACUCUGCUACUGGUUUUACUCUGCUACUGCUCUCAGUCUGCAACAAUGUCUCUCUCUCUCUCUCUCUCUCUCUCUCUCUGUCUCUCUCUCUCUCGCUUUCCAUAAUCUGACCACCUGAACGUUGUUCAAUUCAUACUGAUGUUUUCAUAGUUUUAAUGUUGCUGAUGUUGUUGCUUUACAUCAAUAAAGAUUAUUUUCUUCAAAUUAAA